rnacentral:lncRNA from 1 species
ACUCAGCUGGAGUACAUUGAUGCCAUCACCGCUUACUUGCAGCCUCUCAAACUCCUCAGCUUAAUCAGCAAUCCUUCCACUUUGUCUUCCCAAGUAGCAGGGACUACAGGUGCGCACCAGCACACCCGGCUGAUUUUUUUUUUUUUUUUUUAACAGACAGGGUUUCACUAUGUUGCCCAGGCUAGUCUCAAACUCCUGGGCUCAAGCAAUCCUCCUGUCUUGGCCUCCCAAAGUGUCAUGUCACUACAGGGCCAAGAUCAGCCUCUCUUGCCUGGAUCACAGUAGGGGCCUGAGUGAUUCUUCUGAGUCCAGAUCAAAUCUUGUUACUUUUUUUUUUUUUUUUUUUUUUUUUUGAGACAGAGUUUCGCUCUGUCGCCCAGGCUGGAGUGCAGUGGCGCAAACUCGAGUCUCAGGAUUAGGCCAUUUAACUUACUGGGCCCAGGUGGCAUGUUGCCUGCACGGUGGCCUGGUCCUUGAGCAGGAGGAGGCCGGGAAUGAACCAUUUUCUAAUCAGAUAAGUCCCUGCACUUCUCAGGAGUGGAAGAGUCCCAGAGUUAACUCAUCGAUCCCCUCACAGGCGAAGCGGGGAAGAAGCACUUCUCACUAACAGGCUUCUCAAAAACUCUUCUUCCCUGUAGUGAUUGUUUCAAUAUUAAUAAGAAGAAGCUGUUCUUUCUACAAAUAGGUUAACUACUGGAAAUUUAAUAGAGUAUUUAUUUAAUUCAAGGAGCUAAACAUCUUACCCUUCCUUCAUAUGAACAUUGAUAUUUAGAAUAUAUUUAUUGACAAAAUGAUAAAACAAGAA